UCAGAUCUAGGAUCCGGAUAACUUACUAGUAAGCAAGCAGUAUCGAGUCUUGAACUUUUAUUUACUGGGAACGACGAAGCGAGAGCUCUCAAGUCUCAAGGUACAUCUGAAGUCUUACAACAAUGUCUCAUGAUUCAUGUCCUUUGGUAAAGAACAUUCUUCUUCUAGACUCUGAAGGAAAGCGUGUUGCCGUCAAGUAUUACUCUGAUGACUGGUCAACUAAUGCUGCCAAGUUAAGUUUUGAGAAAUUUGUAUUCUCAAAGACCUCUAAGACCAAUGCUC